UUUGCAUUAUAAAAAUAAAUAUAUUAUUUUUAAAAACAAGUUAAACCAAAUCAUUUUUAUUUGGCCUUAUUUCUCUAAAGGCAACUAUAGAGGCUCUUAUGUCUUCUUUCUUUGUUCCGAAAGCAAUAUCAUUAAAUAUAAAUUGUUUAAAUAAAAUAUUUGCAAUAUUGAUUUUUGAAAAUAUCUUUAAAAUAUUAAUUUAAAUCUAGUUUAAUUUUUUUUAAUUGAUAAUAAUACGCUAGAAUUUUUUUAACCAUAUUUGUUCGUUUUGACAAUAUUUUUGUUUUUAAUAAAUUGCACAAUACGUGUGUUCAGCCAUUGUAAUAGAAAUAUAGAAAAGAAAAAAAAAAAAAUUAAAUGUCAAUACAUUUUGUACUUUUAUCAAAUUAAAAUAGAAUCGUUUUAUUUAUAAGAUUUUUGUUAAUUAUAAAGUUUCGUAUUACGUUUUCGACUUUAAAAAAAUAAUUUACUUAUUUAAAUAAAAUUCUCCAUUCAAUUGUAUAAAUGGAAAGACUUGUUUUCCAUUUCAAAUAAAUAAAUUAAAAAAAAACAUUUUCUUAACAAAAUUUCCAUCCAAUUUGUCUAAAUAUAGUUUAAAAGCAAUGUCUUAGUUACUAAGAUUAUUAGAUGUUACAUAUGAAUAAAUAACUAUAAUACUUAUUAUGUAAUAUUUACAAUAAAUUAUUGUAAUUACUGCGUGACUAACAGUCAUUGCUCAAUAUAUAAAGUGUACCUUCGUUUGUAUUUAUGUACAAAUUGUAAAUUAUUGUACAUUCAGGCACAGCCUUUAUGUAAUUAAAGUAUUAUUUUCACCUGUUUAAUGAUUUUCAUAUUCAUCUAUUAUCAUUUUAAAAUAAUUUCCGACACAAUUUGUUGUCCCUAACAAAUGUCAUAAUUUCUGUAUAGUCUAUUUCAACCACAAGAGAACAGCAUCCAAAUAAACAACAUUUGACAGCAAAUUGACGCGAUAUCAUUGGCCGAGAGCUGAAUAAUCUAUGAUAUUAAUUAUGGAUUUGGAAAAAUGGCGUUUUGAAUGUCGACAAAACGGUUAUCGGAACUUUGGAGGUAAAAUUAAAGUGGAUAUGUUACUUAAAGUACAACGGUGUUCUAUUAAAAAUAAAAAUAUAUUAAUGUCAAGGACUGUUAGUAGUACACUAUAUAUCAGAACUAUUAAACUUAAUAUAAUAUAAUUCCUUCUUCGAUUGGAAUAGACUAUAUACAAAUAUUGACAUGCUGAUAUACCUAAUCAUGUCCUUUGACUAAUAUUAUGAAUACGAAAGUGAGUUUGUUUGUUUGUUACGCUUUCACGUAUUGACUACUCGACCGACCAUCAUUAAAUUUUACAUACACGUUGUCAGGGGUACAGGAAAUUAAGGGUAUACUUGCACUCCCCCUCCCUGUCAAUAUAAUAAUAUUAAACAAUCAUUAAACAGGUGAAUAAGAUGCGUUAUUUAUAAUAAAAUAUUAAGAUAAUAUGAUGAGACGUUGAUCUUGGCUUGAAUGUUAGUGCAACGUGAAAGUGUUUUCACAGUUAAUAAAAAUAUAUAAUAAAA